AGUCAUAGUGGAGACUCAGCUUUGAAGGUGUCAUGGAAACAGAGGUGUCCAAGCAGUUGGAGGCCAGAAGAUCAUGAGAACUCACAAUGAAGAUACUUUGGAUAUUAUAAAGAUACUUCUUUAAACUUAUAAAUUGUUAGAAUUUCUAAAGACAUUGGGACUUUUAUAGUUGUACCAUGUUUUAUAUUUGUGACACCAAUAUGAGCUCUAGGGAAAAAAUGAGAAAGGUUGUCCUAUAGGCACAUCUUCAUAACAUUUCCUUGGGUGUUGACUGAUGUGGGAAGACCCGGCCUACUCUGGAUAAUGCCACUGCUGCAAUGGGUUUUGAAACGGCCUUAUGCAGUUCAGGUUGCAUGAUAUUGAUUGUAAACUCCUGACCCUACAUGACUCCUGAGUGCUGGGUGGGAGUUAUAUCUGUGGCCAAGAAAAGAAAAUUUUCUUCUUGUGAAGAGCUUACCUUCUGGCAUCGUAAUGUAGGCAAGAAAAAUGAAACAUUUUAGAUUUUUCUUUGCAUCAUUGUUUUGGUUGUGGAGACUUAGAAGGUACAUGUCCCCAGUCUCCAGUCCUGUAUCUCUAACCCUCUAGGAAUUGUCUAACUCUGCAAAAACUCUUCACAGCCCACUGAACUGGACUGAACAUUCGGCUGGACCUUAGCUGGGCCGUCUCCAACUAUGUUAAAUGACGCUGGACCGAAAGCAGGGGAGUAGUCAUCUGCCCCCUUCUCCUGUUCCUGAACGACGGGGCCUAUGUGGAUCUGCCUGUAUCAGCCUAUUCCUAUACCAGGCCUACAGGUGGCAGGGAACCCUGCAGAAGAAAAGGCAGGAAAGUGUAAGAGCAGAAGGCACAGGGGAUACCAGGGAAACGAGACCUUCUCAAUACGGCAGGACCACAUGCAGUAGAGUACUUCAUGGCUAACCCAGAAGCUAUCCCCAGUUGGGGAUCCCAAGAGAUGACUGCCCAGCCAGCCAAAACACAAAGGGAUGCUGGAUCUAAUUUUACCAGGUCUAAUUUAUGAGGAAUUUUGAAGAAAUAAGGUUCGGUAAUGUCUCCUGGGUGGUUUGUUGAUGGUGUCAUUGUCCUGUGACGGUGACAAAAAGUACUGCUUGCAAUGUCACCUCCUGGGCAGAGGACACCAAAACACGACCAAAAUGAUCUCACAGAUGUUUGCAGUAGAACUCAGAGGAUGGGAAACUUAUCUUAAGAAGAUGCCUCUAUGAACUCAGGUAUUAUGGAUAGAAGGCUGCCUACAGAACAUGGGAAAGCCAAGAGCAGCUUCACUGGAAUGUCCCCAACUGCAUAAGUGAUGUCUUCUCUAUAGCAUACAGAUUGGUUCCUUCUUCAACUAACCUUCUCCAGCCUGUAAACACAUUGGUUUUUGUAGUGUUGGCAUGAAUAAGGAGGUGACCAAAAGUUUUCUUAAUGGAUUUGAUGCUCUCUGCACAGAAGGAUGUUCAUACAUCAUACUGUCAUCCUUGGUUGAGAACCCAUGGCUGGGGAGUCCACAGCUAUUCUUUUGCUAAAGAGGCACUGAAUCAAACUGUUUUUGACAUUAAGGUUUAUCUAUAGGAACAAAGACAGUCAGGGUGUGGUACUGUUUGGGAAUGUUAUGGAACUUUUAAGAAGAAGAAAAGAAGAAGAAGGAGAAGGAGAAGGAGAAGGAGAAGGAGAAGGAGAAGGAGAAGGA
rnacentral:lncRNA from 1 species